rnacentral:lncRNA from 1 species
AAGGAUUAUUUACUUUUAUUUUAUUAGUCCCAAAGCACAUUAAGCAUAUAAUAACCGAUUGAUAAUAACUGUUGAUAUAAAUGGGUACACACUGCCAUCUUACAACCCUCAGCUAGCUACAAGCCUCAACUAAAAAGCAGUACAGGAAAAACUAAGAGAAGCUCAAAUAUAGGGUAUGAUCAUAUACCUGAGAAUAAACCCAUCUCCUAAAUCUGUUUACUCUCUGCCCCAUCAGACCUGACUUUACCCUGCUACGUUCAGCCGAUAAUGGCAUCAUAUCAAACAUAGUAAAAAGGUAUACAAAUAUAUUUAUGGCCUCGUUAACAUUCUUUGGUUUAGCAUCAGAUGUUUGGUGGUCCUUCUCUCUAUUUCCUUUUCCUUGACUGCUUUCAGAUGUGUGUAAGACCUUUGUUUAGGAAGAGAGUACAAUUGAAGUUGAUGAGAGAGAGGGAGCAACCUUGAUCUUUGCACUGUACCGUAUGUAACAUAGUUUUGUGGUGAUAUUAUGCCAUUAUAUAAUUAAGCAAUAAGGCAUAAUAUAGUCGGGUUACCAAAGUAAUUAGAGUAGUAAAAAUUCAUGUUUUGUCAUACACGUGGUAUACGGUCUGACAUACCACGGCUGUCAGCCAAACAGCAUUCAGGGCUCGUAUCACCCAGUUUAUAAUAUACAGUAAUGUAACGUACAAGUAAAGAGUAAAGAGUGAUAUGAGUGACUCCAGAUUUUAAAACAAUUCUACAAUUUCCAUUUCUUUUGCGAAUAAAUUAACAUCCAAACACAAUAAUAUUACUUAUAUUUCAAAUUUCUUAGAUGUACCAAUGUACUGACACAUUGAUUUAUUGUGGAUAUCACACCAACGGUUGGGAUUACCAUGAAUCCUCCCACUAACUAGACCAGUGAGAUGAUGAGGAGUCCCAGCAGAAGAGGGAGAGAGCUCAGACUCAUCCCCAUGGCUUUAUUACACAGACUCCCCUUACAGCAGUUGAGGUUAGUCUGGUUGGGCAUCUCAGACCAGAGGCAUGAGUCACUGGAGGCACAUCCUCCAUAGAUGGUGUCUUUUCCCCCAUCAGGAGUGGGCUCUGGCAACAUGCAAAACAAAAAAAGAC